rnacentral:rRNA from 1 species
AAACUAACAAGGAUUCCCCUAGUAACUGCGAGUGAAGCGGGAAAAGCUCAAAUUUAAAAUCUGGUAGUCCUUGGCUGCCCGAGUUGUAAUCUAGAGAAGCGUUGUCCGCACUGGACCGUGUAUAAGUCUCCUGGAAUGGAGCGUCAUGGAGGGUGAGAAUCCCGUCUUUGACACGGACUGCCAGAGCUUUUGUGACAUGCUCUCAAAGAGUCGAGUUGUUUGGGAAUGCAGCUCUAAAUGGGUGGUAAAUUCCAUCUAAAGCUAAAUAUUGGCGAGAGACCGAUAGCGAACAAGUACCGUGAGGGAAAGAUGAAAAGAACUUUGGAAAGAGAGUUAAACAGUACGUGAAAUUGUUGAAAGGGAAACGCUUGAAGUCAGUCGCAUCGGCCAGGGAUCAACCUUGCUCUUUUGCUUGGUGUACUUUCUGGACGGAUGGGUCAGCAUCAAUUUUGACCAGUGGAAAAGGGACAAGGGAAUGUGGCAUCUUCGGAUGUGUUAUAGCUCUUGAUCGUAUACAUUGGUUGGGAUUGGGGAACUCAGCACGCCGCAAGGCCGGGUUUUAAACCACGUUCGUGCUUAGGAUGCUGGCAUAAUGGCUUUAAUCGACC